rnacentral:rRNA from 1 species
UACGUAGGGGGCAAGCGUUAUCCGGAUUCACUGGGCGUAAAGGGAGCGCAGGCGGCAUGGCAAGUCUGAUGUGAAAACCCGGGGCCCAACCCCGGGAGUGCAUUGGAAACUGCCAGGCUGGAGUGUCGGAGGGGUAAGCGGAAUUCCUAGUGUAACGGUGAAAUGCGUAGAUAUUAGGAGGAACACCAGUGGCGAAGGCGGCUUACUGGACGACUACUGACGCUGAGGCUCGAAAGCGUGGGGAGCAAACAGG